UACGUAGGUGGCAAGCGUUGUCCGGAUUUACUGGGCGUAAAGGGAGCGUAGGCGGAUACUUAAGUGGGAUGUGAAAUACCUGGGCUUAACUUGGGUGCUGCAUUCCAAACUGGGUGUCUAGAGUGUUGGAGAGGAAAGUGGAAUUCCUAGUGUAGCGGUGAAAUGCGUAGAGAUUAGGAAGAACACCAGUGGCGAAGGCGACUUUCUGGACAAUAACUGACGCUGAGGCUCGAAAGCGUGGGGAGCAAACAGGAUUAGAUACCCUGGUAGUCCACGCCGUAAACGAUGGGUACUAGGUGUAGGAGGUAUCGACUCCUCCUGUGCCGCCGUUAACACAAUAAGUACCCCGCCUGGGGAGUACGGUCGCAAGAUUAAA
rnacentral:rRNA from 1 species